rnacentral:rRNA from 1 species
AACGCUGGCGGCGUGCUUAACACAUGCAAGUCGAACGGAAAGGCCCCAGCUUGCUGGGUACUCGAGUGGCGAACGGGUGAGUAACACGUGGGUGAUCUGCCCUGCACUUUGGGAUAAGCCUGGGAAACUGGGUCUAAUACCGGAUAUCUCCCUUNNNGGUNUGGUUGGAAAGCUUUUGCGGUGUGGGAUGAGCUCGCGGCCUAUCAGCUUGUUGGUGGGGUAAUGGCCUACCAAGGCGUCGACGGGUAGCCGGCCUGAGAGGGUGUACGGCCACAUUGGGACUGAGAUACGGCCCAGACUCCU